GAAGACGAAGAAGAAGACCUAUCAUAUUAUUUGUAACAACCCCGUCCCUGGUCACAUAAUGUGGUGUAUUUAAAAAGGCUAGCCUUAAUUUUGUUUUAGUAAGUGCGUAAAAUGCUGCCAAAUCGCUGCUAACAUUGACAGACGCUCGUUCGCCACCGCGAGCGUGUUAUUAGCUCCUUGCCGGUUGCCUUUUUCUUGCAACUUACGAACAUGAGCGACGACGAAGCUUCGGUCCGCAAGGACGCCUCGAAGGCCAUCCUACUCACCAAGGACGGCCAGCGCUACAUCGUGGGCGACAGCCGCUCGGUGGACAGCCGCGACGUGAUCACGCUCAUCCCCAUGGAGGCAACCGAUCUCAUGGACCUGGACGACGCCGACGAGGAGAGCGACGUGCUGGACGCGUCCGACCCGCGGGACGGCGCCGGGAGCCCGGAGGAGCUGAACGACGACGAGGCGUCGGAGGGCGACGGCACAGCGCCGAAGCAGUGCACCUACGACGGCUGCACUGAGACCACCACGCAAGUGGCCAAGCAGCGCAAGCCGUGGAUGUGCAAGAAGCACCGCAACAAGAUGUACAAGGACAAGUACAAGAAGAAGAAAAGCGACCAGGCCAUGUCGACCAACAAAAUAGACGUCAGUCCCCCACGCUACAGUGAAACCCCCGCCUACUCGCGGAUUUUUUGGAGAAUGAUUUUCAUUUAUUUUUUUUUGGGAGGGGUGCGAAUCUCAAUCCCGUGCUUUUCGACAACUGUGAAGAGCGUCCUGUGUCUGUCAACAAGCAGCGUUUAGGGGUGAUGGGAGACCGGCCAGCCAGACCCUCCCUCAUUGAGCAGGUGCUCAACCAAAAAAGACUGUCACUGCUGAGGAGUCCCGAGGUGAUUCACUUCUUGCAGCAGCAGCAGCGCAUCCUGGCCGUGCAGAGUCGAAGUCUGGCGCUGCAGCACAACUUGAGCGGCUGUUGACGCUCCUAACACUCAGUCACGCUAUUAUUUAUUGUCUUUACAGUUAAAAGGUUUGUGGUGCAUUUUGUUGUUGUUGUUGUUGAUGAUUUCACUCACGGACAAAGAAAACAAAACAAAAAUGUUUUCUGGUCACAAGCUCUGUCACCCCCGCGGCGAACGAAAUAAUAUUUCACUUCGUGAAACUCUUGAUUUGCAUCUAGCAGCUUUGUGUUACCAAUUUGUAUUUAUAGACAUAUCUCGAGCCUGAUAAUAAUCUCCUGUAAAAAAAAUAAAUAAUAAAACAUCAAAUCCAUUUUAGCCUCGAAAAAAACAUUUAAUAUAAGUACAACCAAACAUUGGUCGGGACGGUAGAAUAAUAUUAAAAGACAAAUUGAACUCACAAAGAAGCGCUACGUAGUCUUGAAGUGCCGUAGGGAUGCACAAGAAAACAACAAAGCCAACAUACAGAAGCCAAAUGAAAGUCAGUCUCACAGUAAACAAGGACCACAUCCUGGAAACUUCCGGAGGGGCUUGCGUCCUCAUCACAAACGCCGCCUUCCGCAGCCACCCGCCCGUUUUCUACGACACAGACGAGAUGGGGUUGUGCGGUGAGCCCAUUUGGGUGAGGACCUUGUCAAGCCAUUGCAGGGGACCAUGUAGAUGCACUUCGAUCCAGCAGGGGGUGCUGGUCACAUCCUGGCGGUGGUACUCAGCCCCCCAACCCUAGACAAAAAAAAAAAAAAAAAGCUUUGUCACUUCACUGGAAUCAAAGCACCGUUUUCAA